rnacentral:rRNA from 1 species
GGACGGGUGAGUAAUGUCUGGGGAUCUGCCUGAUGGAGGGGGAUAACUACUGGAAACGGUAGCUAAUACCGCAUAACGUCGCAAGACCAAAGAGGGGGACCUUCGGGCCUCUUGCCAUCGGAUGAACCCAGAUGGGAUUAGCUAGUAGGUGGGGUAAUGGCUCACCUAGGCGACGAUCCCUAGCUGGUCUGAGAGGAUGACCAGCCACACUGGAACUGAGACACGGUCCAGACUCCUACGGGAGGCAGCAGUGGGGAAUAUUGCACAAUGGGCGCAAGCCUGAUGCAGCCAUGCCGCGUGUGUGAAGAAGGCCUUCGGGUUGUAAAGCACUUUCAGCGAGGAGGAAGGCAUUGAGGUUAAUAACCUUGGUGAUUGACGUUACUCGCAGAAGAAGCACCGGCUAACUCCGU